rnacentral:rRNA from 1 species
AUAUGAGAUAUAAUAGGGCUAAAACUCUUAACCCGGCUUAAGCAUUUUCGGUGGUAGCUAGACCCAAGAGGUUAAGAGAGUUAAGCGUGCUAGGACGGGAGUAGUCCUAGGAUGGGUGACCUCCUGGGAAGUCGGGGCGUCACAGAUG